rnacentral:lncRNA from 1 species
CACCUUCUCCAUGAGCAUGCUGGAGAUCUACAUGGGGUCUCUGAGGGACCUGCUGGCCCCCAGGGCGUCCUCCGCCAAGAGGUAGAAGACGAAGGCCGCCUCAGAUCUGGAAACCCACCUCUGGAUUUCACAUGACGAACUCGAAAUAAACAGUCUUUCUUCUCCAAAAUCGUCUGAGCAGUCUCAACAUCCAGACCGGAGGAGGCGGGUGCGUGGAGGUCGAGGGCCUUACCGAGGUGCGGGUCGUUGACUUCAAGCAGGCGAGCCACUGGUACGCGAAGGGGAAGAGGGCGAGGACGACUUCCUGGACCAGCGUCAACGAGGCC